CAACCCUCAAGCUUCUGCUUGGUCUUGGGCCGUGCCGGCAACGGCUGGCCUUAAAACUAGUGGCGGUGCCAUCGAGCUCUACGCGUAGUAAUUCUAUCUCGCGUCUGGGCCCCGGUGGACGCUGGCCAGCAACCCCCAAUUUUCUAU
rnacentral:misc_RNA from 1 species